AACGAAGAACCUUACCCAGGCUUGACAUGCAGCUGCACACGGGGGAAACGUCGUUGCCUUCGAGGGUGCUGCACAGGUGCUGCAUGGUUGUCGUCAGCUCGUGUCGUGAGAUGUUGGGUUAAGUCCCGAAACGAGCGCAACCCCUGCUGGUAGUUACAUGUGUCUACCAGGACGGAUMMCUUUGAUGGGGGAAGGAAGGCGGGGAUGACGUCAAAUCAGCAUGGCCCUUACGCCUGGGGCGACACACACGCUACAAUGGCCGGGACAGUGCGUCGCGAACCCGCAAGGGGAGCAAAUCGUCCAAACCCGCUCUCAGUGCAAGAUCGGGGGCUGCAACUCGCCCCCGUGAAGCGGAGUUCUA
rnacentral:rRNA from 1 species